AAAUAGAUAAAUUUUUUAUAUUUUAUAUAAUUUAUUAUAAAUUUAUUUUACAUGUAAAUUUUAGUAUAAAAUUUUAAUUAUUUUAAUAAUAAUUAAUUAAAUUAACAGUAAUUAAAAUUAAAAAUAUUUAAGAAAUUAAGAUUUAGUAAUAUUUAAAUUAAUAACUAAUUUUGUGCCAGCAGUUGCGGUUAAACAAAAGUUAAAUUAAAUUAUUUCAGUAUAUAAUAAAUAAAUAAAAUAAUGUUAAAUUAAAUAUUAAAUUAUUAAGUGAAAUUUUAAUUUAAUUAAAAAUUAUAUAAAAUUUAUGAUUUAAUAAAUUUUAAUAUAAACUAGGAUUAGAUACCCUAUUAUUAAAAAUUUAAUAAAAAAUACUAAAAUAGUAGAUAAAAUAUUAUUGAAACUUAAAUAAUAUGGCGGUAUUUUAGUUCAUUUAGAGGAAUCUGUCUAGUAAUUGAUAAUCCACGAAUAAAUUUACUUAAUUUAUAAUUUUGUAUAUCAUUGUUAAAAAAAUAUUUUUAAAUAAAAAUAAUAUUUUAAAAUUUAGAAUAAAAUUUAAUUCAGAUCAAGAUACAGAUUAUAAUUAAGCUUAAGAUGGAUUACAAUAAAUUUAUUUAAAUGGAAAGAAUUUUGUAAAAUUUGAUUGAAGGUGGAUUUAAAUGUAAUUUUAAUUAAUUUAUUAAAAUGAUUAAAAAUUGAAAUAUGUACAUAUUGCCCGUCACUUUCAUUUAAAAAUUGAAAUAAGUCGUAACAAAGUAGAGGUACUGGAAAGUGUUUCUAGAAUGAA
rnacentral:ncRNA from 1 species